rnacentral:rRNA from 1 species
AAGGUUUCCGUAGGUGAACCUGNGGAAGGAUCAUUNAAAAAAAA